UCAGAAAGCAGCUAUCAGCCCAUCAGAGAUAACGGCCGCAGAAGCGAUCCAACACUGCCUCUCUUCAAAGGCAAUCCAAGACCCUUCCUUGGGGGGGCGGGAGGAGAUCGGGUUCUCCCCCCCCCCGGGCUCCUCCAGUAUCCCAUUGCUCUGGGAUUUUUCCUUUUCGGAUUUAUUAUUAUUUUUGCUUCCGUCCGCCUCAUCAUGAAAAUUCUUGCUCCUUCCUUAUUAUACUUUGCUUUUGGGGAGAGGGUUCUGGGCAAAGAUGCGGUUCCUUCCAGCCCACGGCACCCACGGCCAAAUAGUAUUUCUUCCUUCAGUCCUACUGCGGUUUGAAGAAAAAAUCUUUGCACCCGUCCUCUCGCAUCCUAAAAGCAAAUGCCUCGGAAGUUAAGCCUUUAUUUUAUCUUUUAAUGAGUUUUGCUUCGAAUAAGUGACUUUAGAUAUUUUUAAAAGAGAGAGAGAGAGAGAGAGCUGUUGCAAUCCAAUUGCGCAGUCAAUGCCUGGCGGCGUUUUGACGCACAACUGGUUUACUCGGGAGUAAAGGUGCGCACAAUUGUAGUUUGCUCGGAAAGACGAAAGCAAGUUGUCUGCUAUUUCGGGGACUUGCCGGGUUCAGUAGGAGUUGGAAAUUUACAACCUGGGCCUCUGCGUGUUUACUGAGAAAUAAGUGAAUUCAGAGGGAUCUUUAAACAGCGUAGGAAAUCCUUCCUUUCCCACCCCUCUUCCAAAAAAAAGAAACUUCUUCAGGAAGCCUGCAGCGCUUGUCGCUUUUGCAAAAGGGGCUGCUGUCCUGAAAGAACUUGAUCUGUUCUCUAACCUCUGUUGGAUUUACUUCUGAGUAAACAACCGUCCCGGGACCAUCAGGGUUUGCAGGAUAGUGUUGAAGGACAAACCUCCCGGGCUUUCUUUAGAGUAAAAGCAGAUAGGUGCGAAAGUCGGCCUUACGAGGAACCUUACUUUUUUUUAAAAAGCACUACCAGAGUGCAAAAUAUUGCUGCUGUUAUUUGUCCUUAAAUAAAUCUGUAAUAGGCGUAUUUUUAAGUUCCA
rnacentral:lncRNA from 1 species